rnacentral:rRNA from 1 species
AAUCAACGCUGGCGGCGUGCCUCAGACAUGCAAGUCGAACGAUUAAAGCCCUCUUCGGAGGGUGCAUAAAGUGGCGCACGGGUGAGUAACACGUAAGUAAUCUACCUUCGAGUGGGGAAUAACGUUCGGAAACGAACGCUAAUACCGCAUAAUGCAGCGGCAUCUAUGAUGACAGUUGUUAAAGAUUUAUCGCUUGAAGAGGAGCUUGCGGCCAAUUAGCUAGUUGUUAAGGUAACGGCUUACCAAGGCGACGAUCUGUAUCCGGUCUAAGAGGACGGUCGGACACACUGACACUGAAUAACGGGUCCGACUCCUACGGGAGGCAGCAGUCGGGAAUUUUGGGCAAUGGGCGAAAGCCUGACCCAGCAACGCCGCGUGAAGGAUGAAGUUUUUCGGAAUGUAAACUUCGUAAGAAUAGGAAGAAUAAAUGACGGUACUAUUUGUAAGGUCCGGCUAACUACGUGCCAGCCGCCGCGGUAA